GGCAGCUGGAUGAAGGUUAAACUAACUCAGCCAGUUUGUUUUCCUACUUAAUACAUUUAAGUCAAGGUAAAAAUUCUUUGAUUUUCUAGGGGACGAUAAGACCCUAGAAGCUUAAUAAUCGUUCAAGGUUUUAGUGUUUCCUAUGACUUUAGUUUACUGGGGCGGUAAAAGUGCCUAAACCACUUAAAUCCUAGUUGGUCCUCUACAUAGGGAUAGCUUGGUAUAGUUACUCUAGGGAUAACAGUACUAUAUUUUUGGAGAGACCUUAUCGAUAAAUAUUUUUGUAACCUCGAUGUUGAAUUA
rnacentral:rRNA from 1 species